rnacentral:piRNA from 2 species
UUCUCUUCAGAUCGUAUAAAUCUUU